UACGAAGGGGGCUAGCGUUGCUCGGAAUGACUGGGCGUAAAGGGCGCGUAGGCGGAUGGCACAGUCAGAUGUGAAAUUCCCGGGCUUAACCUGGGGGCUGCAUUUGAUACGUGUUGUCUCGAGUGAGGAAGAGGGUCGUGGAAUUCCCAGUGUAGAGGUGAAAUUCGUAGAUAUUGGGAAGAACACCGGUGGCGAAGGCGGCGCUCUGGACCGAGACUGACGCUGAGGCGCGAAAGCGUGGGGAGCAAACAGG
rnacentral:rRNA from 1 species